UACGUAGGGGGCUAGCGUUGUCCGGAAUCAUUGGGCGUAAAGCGCGUGUAGGCGGUCCGGUAAGUCCGCUGUGAAAGUCGGGGGCCCAACCCUCGGAUGCCGGUGGAUACUGUCGGGCUUGAGUACGGAAGAGGCGAGUGGAAUUCCUGGUGUAGCGGUGAAAUGCGCAGAUAUCAGGAGGAACACCAAUUGCGAAGGCAGCUCGCUGGGACGUUACUGACGCUGAGACGCGAAAGCGUGGGGAGCGAACAGG
rnacentral:rRNA from 1 species